rnacentral:misc_RNA from 1 species
GAUGAAGAACGCAGCGAAAUGCGAUAAGUAAUGUGAAUUGCAGAAUUCAGUGAAUCAUCGUAUCUUUGAACGCACAUUGCGCCCGCCAGUAUUCUGGCGGGCAUGCCUGUUCGAGCGUCAUUUCAACCCUCAAGCACAGCUUGGUGUUGGGACUCGCGUUAAUUCGCGUUCCCCAAAUUGAUUGGCGGUCACGUCGAGCUUCCAUAGCGUAGUAGUAAAACCCUCGUUACUGGUAAUCGUCGCGGCCACGCCGUUAAACCCCAACUUCUGAAUGUUGACCUCGGAUCAGGUAGGAAUACCCGCUGAACUUAAGCAUAUCAAUAAGCGGAGGA